rnacentral:tRNA from 1 species
GCACGCUUGGCCGAGAGGAUAUAGGCACUGGAUUGCAAAUCCAGAUACGCGGGUUCGAAUCCCGCAGUGUGCUCCA